AUCAACGGCACAACACAAAGAUCUGUCAGUCACACAGGAACAAGACUCAAACCUUGAUGAACAUGGAGGCAACAGAGAAAUGAAGAGGAGGAGGAAGAAAAGAGAGGCAGGAGGAGGAGGAGGAGAGUUUAACCCAGGGCUGUGGAGUCAGCCCCCCUGCCCCUCCCCCUCUACUGCAUUUGUUUUUUUGGGGGGUGCUUCCUGUGGCGCCGGUAGACUUGCUUGACCAUUUUUUGACAGCAACAGCAGCACAAGCCACAACAGCCCUUGCUUUGGCAAAUGGCACCAUGUGGAUACAAAGCCACUGGUUUGUUUAUCUUCUGGAUAUGAGCAACUGACCUUGGUCGUUUGUGACGUACACCAAGAAAAGUUGGUGUUGCCGGUUGCGUCUUCCACCAGGGCGGUUGGAGGAAAAAGGUCAAGUGUGAUUCCAGCUUGAGACCUUAUUCCCAUUGUUUUCUGCUCUGAGCACUCUCGUCUUGCGGCGAACAGUGGGAACCCACACUCACGUCUUCCACUCAUACAAACUUGAUGCUUGUACGCCAAGUCACUGCUCAUACACCAAAGCAUUUUUAGUGAUUUUCUUUUGCUCGUAAAUUGAAACGCUUGUAAACUAAGGCACUUGUAAAUCGAGGUAUUACUGUAUAUAAAAAAUCUUUCAAACAAGUAAUUUGUGACGGACAAGAAAAACAUCACCACAAAGAACCUCAUCAAGCACACAGGUGUCUUUCACUGUGAUACGGCGCACUUGUAAAAUAAUACCAAUUUCUGUAGUCAUGAAUAAUCACUGCACCCUUCACUGCACAUAGAGGCCUUGUUGGAGGCUGUGUCUUAUGCCUGUGCAGUAAAAGCAUAACUGUCAAACUAACAGGAACACUGGUGCCUCCUUUCUGCAGGUUCUCUUGGUAAGCAUAACUGUCAAACUAACAGGAACACUGGUGCCUCCUUUCUGCAGGUUCUCUUGGUAAGCAUAACUGUCAAACUAACAGGAACACUGGUGCCUCCUUUCUGCAGGUUCUCUUGGUAAGCAUAACUGUCAAACUAACAGGAACACUGGUGCCUCCUUUCUGCAGGUUCUCUUGGUAAGCAUAAUUGCCAAACUAACAGGAACACUUUCAAACUCUCAAACUUUCCGCAGGUUCUCCUGGCCACCACCGGCAGGGACGUUGCCAUGUAGCUGUGGUCAAGGAGGCCCACGGGUCGUGCCGGAACUAGGUGCAGCUGUGCCUGGAGGGUUGCCAUGAUGGCACCACCUUUCACCGUGUCGUGCUGGGCUUCAUCCACCCGACAGGAACGGACAGCAGCGGAGAAGCCGUCAAGGGGAAGCCCUUCAAGGAAGAGUUCCACACACAGCUGUGGCUCGGCCUGCUGGCAAUGGCCCCAGCGACAAUCGUUCUUUUUGGCGCUGGGCCAGACUCGAGAGCUGCAGGACAAACACACACACACACCGUCACGGCCAACACUCUCCACACGCCUGGAGGAGGG